rnacentral:lncRNA from 1 species
UUCAUUGUGCAAGGUACUUGGAUCCCUGGUUGUAAUUCCACUGUACUUUAAUUUUGCCUUAUGGGAAGAUUCCUUCCUUCUCUUUCCUUAGCAUAGCAUUUCUACUAGCAGCCUUUUUCUUAUAUCGUGACCGUUUAACUACCAUUCCAGGAGAGUGAACAUGAAAGAAAUGUUUCACCAUGAAUUCCUACAGUCUUCAACUAUCAGUGCUCUUUUCAUUCAGCAGCCACAACUGCCAUUACUUCUGCCCACAAGGGAGAGAGCAGUGAUGAAGGCACACAGAAAGGGUAGCUCUGCCUGAAGUGCAAGGCUGCAGACUGGUCCGAUAACAUAACGUCAUGGACUCUGUACCCACCAGACUGCCCCAAGUGAAUCUGAACAACUGCACAUGGAAAUCCCUCAUUUUGGAUGAUUUACCAACUCAGGAUCUCAAAGGCAAUAACUUCAAGCUGUCUUAAGAAGCAAUGAAAUCCAGUGGACAGUGGAGCAGGAUGUCUAUGAAGAGCAUGAGCCUCAUUUACGAUUGCUUGCAUGUUUGGUGCAAAGGAUCAGCAUGGACUCAGCUAGACAGGAUGGAUGCAGAAUGGUGCAGAGAAGAAACAGAUGGGCAACCAGCAAAGCAGCAGUGGGACAAACUUUCUAGAUCUGUUCUCACCUUUUUCUGUGGAGGCCAGGUAGGUUAAUGGAGAGUGUGCAAAAUAAGAGAUAUCUUCACCUUAGCCUUUGCACAUCCAAGCAGAGGCUGAUAAUGCUCUGGACUUGUUAAUGAUUCCUUUUUUUCCUUGACUUGUGAUACCAGAGUCAGUCUUAGUGAGAAGGAGGAAAAGUGUCUGCUAAGUCAAGAAGAAAAAUUUUCUUUAAAAAUCCCUAAUUUCAGAGAAGAAAACAACUCAGUGGAAAAGUGAACUGAAUGGGAUGGUGGUGCAUAGGGAGGAAAUUGAUUUUACUGUCUUCAGUAGUCUAAAGUAUAGGUGUCUAUGACCAGCGCAUGGUCAAUCAACUGUGAUGCUUCUCCAGAAAGUGAUGUAUUUUAUUUUAAAGUUACAUUUUCAAAAGGGUUCAAUCAUGCUGUGAGGUAGUUAUCACCUUCUGCUGAAUAUAGA